rnacentral:lncRNA from 1 species
UUGCCAUUAACAUGGCCAGUAGCAGUAAGAAAGGCAAGACUAAGGUUAGGGAAGAUGGACCUAUAGAUAGAGUUUCCAACCCUGUGCCUUCUCGGGAUGAUCGGUCGGUUGGUCCGACUGAUGACUCCCUUUUGGGUCCGGCCACAAAAGCUUCUUUUGUGACCGAAUCCGAAGUCCGUCAACUACGGGCAUGAUAUCAUGUCCCAGAGCAGUUUCGGCUCUAUGCUUCU